rnacentral:rRNA from 1 species
UACGUGGGGUGCGAGCGUUGUCCGGAAUUAUUGGGCGUAAAGAGCUUGUAGGUGGCUCGUUGCGUCGGGAGUGAAAACCUGCGGCUUAACCGCAGGCCUGCUUCCGAUACGGGCGAGCUAGAGUUCGGCAGGGGAGACUGGAAUUCCUGGUGUAGCGGUGGAAUGCGCAGAUAUCAGGAGGAACACCGGUGGCGAAGGCGGGUCUCUGGGCCGAUACUGACACUGAGAAGCGAAAGCGUGGGGAGCGAACAGG